AAUGAUAUGUGUUUAAUUCUCUGAUUUGAAAUGCGUCCUUGCUUGCUAUGCCACAAUAAUUUGACAAGCUUGUUAUGGUUUAGGCAAGUAUUAUUUACAGCAAAAUUUGAAAUUGAAGCAUAAGAAGUAGAAUGAGGAUUAGAAAUGACAAAGAAAUUAGCACUCAGAUGAUAUAGGUCCCCAUCAACUCUUCCAAUGGCAAUGACAAGAUCAGUCUGCAAAUCCUGAAAGACACAAUGAUCGGGUAAAGUUUUAACUGAGAUUUUGUUUACCUUUUGCCAGUAUAUUUACGGAUAUAAGGCUGCAUGUGAAGCUUCAGAGGUAAAGAACAUUGUCUAAGGUCAAGGAUAAGUGUAAAUCUAUUGAUCCUGUGUGUGUGACAUUUUGGAUUGAACCAUCUGGCAAUCUGACUGGUUUUGGUUUAUGAAGUUUGUGAAUGGUAUCAAAAAAUUGUAUAUGGGGUGUCAUAUGGUCAGUGGCGCCUGUGUCCACUAUCCAUGAAACCUUUUUCAUGAACUGACAUGCAUUUAGGAUAAGUAUCGGUUAAUAUACCUAUGAAACUUGCUGUGUUGGCUAUAGAGGUGUCAUGAUUGUAUGAUUCAGCCUGAGUAUUCUUGUUCUGAAUUGCUUUGAUCACCUCUUGUUGUACUAGCUUUGAGAUAUUGUCAUGUAAAUCUCCAAGACUGUGUGUUUCUAAAUCCGAGAUAGGUGCUUCUGCUAUUGGCAUUGUCACACUUGCAUUUGCUCUAGCAUUAUUUUGUUUAAGAUCAUAAAACCACUCAGGAUAGCUGAUAGAUCACCACGAAGAUCUGCAAGGGUGCCUAUCAAGAAUAAGAAGUGCUUGGACUAAGUCUUUGCUCUAGCUUAUAUCUCUGCUGUUGGAAUUAUUUUCUGCUGUAAUUAUUUUCUAUGUUGGUUUAAUAAAGUCAAUUUGCUGUUGUGAUUGUGUCAGCAAAUCUUGGCUAUUUUAACUCAUGAAGUGCCGUUUGUGGACUUUAGAAUAGGACUAAGUAGUUUUAAUUCUUUUCCUAUUUAUUUCCCUGGUAUCUGCAGCAGAGUUCAUCAAUGAAAGACACUUGAAACUUCUUACUCUCUUGUUCAAUUCUCUUGGCUUUGACAGGGACCCAUCAAUAGCCAUGUAGUUUAAAGCAACUAUCUCUUGCAUGACCUCCAUUUUUGAAAUAGUCGCAUAAUUUGUUCUCCUUUUUUAUAUGAAGUUUCUGACUUCUCUAUUGUUGAAUUUCUGAAAAUUUCCUUGUGUCCUUUAAAAGUUUCUUAAUGUUCAUUGAG
rnacentral:lncRNA from 1 species